CAUGCAGUCGAGGGGCAUCAGUUUGGUUUGCUUGCAAACCAAAGCUGGCGACCGGCGCACGGGUGAGUAACACGUAUCCAACCUGCCUCAUACUCGGGGAUAGCCUUUCGAAAGAAAGAUUAAUAUCCGAUAGCAUAUAUUUCCCGCAUGGGUUUUAUAUUAAAGAAAUUCGGUAUGAGAUGGGGAUGCGUUCCAUUAGUUUGUUGGGGGGGUAACGGCCCACCAAGACUACGAUGGAUAGGGGUUCUGAGAGGAAGGUCCCCCACAUUGGAACUGAGACACGGUCCAAACUCCUACGGGAGGCAGCAGUGAGGAAUAUUGGUCAAUGGACGCGAGUCUGAACCAGCCAAGUAGCGUGAAGGAUGACUGCCCUAUGGGUUGUAAACUUCUUUUAUAUGGGAAUAAAGUUGUCCACGUGUGGAUUUUUGUAUGUACCAUAUGAAUAAGGAUCGGCUAACUCCGUGCCAGCAGCCGCGGUAAUACGGAGGAUCCGAGCGUUAUCCGGAUUUAUUGGGUUUAAAGGGAGCGUAGGCGGAUUGUUAAGUCAGUUGUGAAAGUUUGCGGCUCAACCCGUAAAAUUGCAGUUGAUACUGGCAGUCUUGAGUGCAGUAGAGGUGGGCGGAAUUCGUGUGUAGCGGUGAAAUGCUUAGAUAUCACGAAGAACUCCGAUUGCGAAGGCAGCUCACUGGAGUGU
rnacentral:rRNA from 1 species